GUGAGGAAUAUUGGUCAAUGGGCGAGAGCCUGAACCAGCCAAGUCGCGUGAAGGAAGAAGGAUCUAUGGUUCGUAAACUUCUUUUGCAGGGGAAUAAAGUGCGGGACGUGUCCUGUUUUGUAUGUACCCUGAGAAUAAGGAUCGGCUAACUCCGUGCCAGCAGCCGCGGUAAUACGGAGGAUCCGAGCGUUAUCCGGAUUUAUUGGGUUUAAAGGGUGCGUAGGUGGUUUGAUAAGUCAGCGGUGAAAGUUUGCAGCUUAACUGUAAAAAUGCCGUUGAAACUGUCGGACUUGAGUGUAAAUGAGGUAGGCGGAAUGCGUGGUGUAGCGGUGAAAUGCAUAGAUAUCACGCAGAACUCCGAUUGCGAAGGCAGCCUACUAAGCUACAACUGACACUGAAGCACGAAAGCGUGGGGAUCAAACAGGAUUAGAAACCCUGGUGUCC
rnacentral:rRNA from 1 species